GAUCAGACGUCAUCAGCUUUCAGCACAGACACCAGACACCAGAAAUGGCACCGACCUCAACUGAAGCUUAAGGUUCCAAGUAAAGACACAGGACAACUGCUAUAAAGGCCACCAGUGGACACUAGUGCCGCUGCUAUGGGAGACUCCACCCCACCUACAAACUCAUCCUAGGACCCCAGAGUCUACUUUUGUACAGGCUGUGCCUGUCCCUGGAGAAGUCCUAUGAACAAGAUAUAUAGUGACCUGGGGCAUUCGUCUGUGAUCACUUCCAAGGGGGCAUAAGCAAGACUUCUUGACAUUUGGCCGGGCACAGCAUCCCUGAAGCAAGUUGGAUGGGUGAUGGAAACCCUUCCUCCACAAGCCAGUCAGAAUCUCCAGGAAGAACUUCUCUUUGGAGACAGAAGCAGAGCAAGAAAACGUGGUGCAGUCACAAUGUGUUUGCUCAGCCAGAACAUCUAUCUCCAGGCUAUGGCAAGUUUGUGUAACUUCUCUGCUCAAGAGCUUUUCUUGCCCACAAGUCUCCUUUGAGGACAGCCACAAAGCCCAAACAGCACACCAGCUGGAGAGACCGUACAGUGAAAUGGUUCUGCUCCGAAUCACUCCUGCAACACUGCGCACACAGGUAGAGAAAAUGAAACGAGCCCGCACGUAGCCCGCAGAAGCCUGGGAGAACAUGGGAGCUCUGGGCAGAGCUGGAGAUCACAUCCUCUGCUCGAGGCUGUGAGCCGGGGCUACAGGGGGACAAUGAAAGGAACGAUACAUGCUUCAACUUUUACAGCAGUUUGCAUUGGCUUCCCUUUGCAUGAGAUGUAGCUGGUGAAGAAUUAGAGGCCUCAGGAAAACAUGCCACGAGCACAUAAUGCCUGUGGCAAGCAGUGUCUGACCCAUUCUCUCUGCAGAAAGUCAGAUGCAAAUUAUCCUGAUUAAAUAAUGUGACAGGGUUAAAUAGACACCUACGCACUUGUAAGUUGAGUUAUACCUGUAUUCUAGGUCAUUAGUAUGCAGCUGCUACACACGGACUAUCAAAUGAAUACUUAAAUAGGCAAACUCUUUUUUAUUUUGCAACUUGUAAAUGUUUGCUGUAGGGAAUAUUUUUUUUUAGAUAUAUAUUUAAUUAUGUGUAUGAUGUGUGUCUGAGUGUAUGUAGGUGUACACACGUAAGUGCAGGCUUACACAGAAACCAUAGGUGUUAUUUCUCCCAGACCUAGUACAGGCAGUUAGUUAUGAGUCUCCCAUCGUGAGUGCUGGGAACCAAACUUGGGUUCCCUUGCAAGAACAUCACACAGAAGCUCUAAGAUGCUGAGCUGUCUUUCCAGCCCGCAAGUGUCCUUAUGAUGUGAAAGUCUAAGAGCCUUUAUUUUCCCCCUGCCUAAGCCUAAACUGCAAGGUUAGGUCAAAUGCCGUGUUUAGUUUCCCAAGCAACACUGAAAUCAAACAAAAGUCUUCAUAUCUACUGAAAGAGGACAGAGGUGCCCUGAGUUGUCAGAACUGGUGUUAUGUGUGUACUUACUGAGUAUACAUAUUCAAAAUUAGGACCGAAUCUGAAAUUCUACUUAAGCAAAGCUGGAGACUCAUAAUUUGAGCUCUGACUCUGUACAGCUGCCAAAGGAAAGUUAAAUUUUUUUUUUAUCUAAGGGGUGAACAGCUGCAGUCAAAAUUACCCUGUCAUAUCCAUCUUUAUAAGCGUCUCCCAGAGAAUCCAGAGGAACAGCAAGCACUUCCGACAGGAUCCCUGUUUUACUGUGAUUCGGAGAGAUGAUCAUGGUCUCAGUUUGGGGGUCUCCUUCAACAUAAAUAUUAAUGAAUCCAACCGCAUAAAGGCUCUUCCUCUGAUGAAAAUUAAAAAUUCAGCUCUUGCAUCAUAGCUUUUUAUGAAGAAGAAUUAAAACACCUUCAUUAGUUUUAAAGGAUGUGGUUUAAGUUAUUAAAUCAUUAUUGAAUUAUUAAAUCAUUGUUGAAUCUAAAUCUC
ensembl:antisense Gm6878 predicted gene 6878